CAUCAAAGAAGUCAAGGAAAAGGUUUUCUCCUGAUUCAUUGGGCAGGACACCACCAAUACAAUUCUGGAUUCCAUCCUGAAAGGAGGACACUGCCCGUCUGUACAGGUUGGCUUGAACGAAGGAAAAGAGGGUGUGAAGGAAUCUCCAUAUUGGGCUCGAGGAGUUAUGGCUAGAGGAGCAGGCGAAGCUGGAGGCAGACCACGUCAUCUGAGAAUCCCCGCUGAAAGGAAGUGAUGUGCAGCUUGUGGGCGGCGCCUGAGGAACCUGAAGAAGCGUUCCCAGGAGCCUCGUGUAGGUAACGCAUACCGGCCACUGAGACUAACUGCUUCAUUUUUACCAGACGGGGGAAAAUACGCGCGUUGAAAUGCUUUAUUCGCGUGUAGCAGAUAAACUGGCAGCGGCACCCAUCCCUCAAGGAAUCUAUCCACAUUACAAAAAGAUAAGGAAAGAAUAAGUGAAAUAAGUAAAUAUAUGAAUGCAAUAAAUAAUGAGCAAAAUCAAUUAUCCAAUCCAGCAAUACAAAACAAAUGAGUAAGAUAAUUAUCAAAUGAAUAAAAUAAUUAAAUAAAAAUAACGAAAUAGAAGCGAACAAAACGAAUCAUCUAAUCAAUCAACAGGAAACAAAUAUAAGCAACAUAAUAAAAAAAAACAAAUAAAAUCAAACAAAAAAAAACCAGAAUAAGAAAAUAAAAUAAAGAACAUCCGGUAAAAGGCAACGAAAUAUCUGAAAAAAUUAUUUCUUUAACUAAUUGAGAAGUGAAAAGAAAUAUGACUACAAGUAAAACAAGCAGAAAGUCAUGAAAUGCUAUGAUACCAAAACUAUACCAAGCUUUCUUGUAACAAAAAUAAAUAAGAAAUGAAUAAACAAGGACACAUAAGA